ensembl:lncRNA
UUUCAUUCCAAGUUUCUCAGCUGACUUGUAAUUACAUUGCAUGGAAGGCAAAUAUGUUUUCUUGGGGUAAACUGAGACUUUGAGCCAGGGGAGGAAUGCAUUCUCAUUCUUUUUUCCUUCCUUCAUGUAAAGCCUAAGGAGAUGGGAGACCAAUCCCUUUAAGCUUGAAUGUGUUUCUUUGCCAUGUUUGAUUUUGGGUAUGAAGCAUGUUGCAUAAAUGUCCCUUAGCCAUUAUCAGAGAGUUUCAGAGAACCCUGAGUACCCUGGGCGAGAUCAGCCAGAUCUUCUCAUUAGCAGCUGGGCAUCUCUAGGAAAGUCAGGAGUCAGAAAUCAGCAUGAUUCCCAUGCAGUCUGUUUGAUCUGUGGGUUUCUGACUUCUUUCCCACCAAAACUGUUCCAUCUCUUUUUUAAUAAGUCCUUGUGUUGCUUGAACUUUUCCAUAAGGAAAUGAAAUUGAGUCAAAUUUAAAAAUCUGACUGUUAAGAAGCUUUCAGGAGAAAACAUUGUUCCCCACCAGAGAUGUUCCUUCGGGGAUGCUGAAGCCUCCCCUCAGCCAUGUAUGACGGUAACUGAUGGGGGAAAUUUCAUAUUUCCAAACAGCUUCUCCCAAACCAUAUUCUUUAUCUUGCUGCCUCCUCUGGCCUCCCCAAAUGCUUCUCUUGCUUCAUGUUUCAGCCAUGGUCGCCAGCACCUGGAGGAUCUGCAUGCUGUUACCAGGACCCAGGAAAAGGAUCCAGCAGAGACAGCAAAAUCCCUGGGACAACAGAGCACUGUUGCUGAUGGAAUUCCUGUGCCACAUGCAUCACUGAGGAGCAGCACAGAACUGGAAAAGGGCUCCAGGAUAAGGGAUCUCUGGCCCUCACUGGCCACCAAAGAACUAUUGUGGAGCUCUGGAGAUACCAGCACCAUCAGUGCAAGGGCCAGCUUGCGGAAGAAGGAAUUGUGGCUCUUCCUGCCUGCAAAGUAUGCCUGCUUGGAAAGUCCAUCUACAAAUCCUGAAGAGCCUGUUUAUGUUACUUGAUGUGGUCACCUGAGUUGAGGAGCAGUGUGGAGCUACUGCAUCCAACAAAGCAUCAAGAGAUGCUGUCACAACCCUACACACAGGGAAGUGCUGGGAAAACCCCAUGAGUGGAGGAGCAGGUAUAUUCUUCCAGGGCCAGAAGGGAAGCGCACGUUUCAUCUGAGCUGGCACAGAGCUGGAGAAAGCUGCUUCACUGCUGCAACACUGGGCUGCCCACUGUUUGGUCCUGCUACCUCCCAUUGCACCCAUUGCUUAGUGAGACAACUGCAUGAUGAGCUGCUACCAGCACCUCCAAAGCACUUCCUCGUGGAUUUAAUCAGUCCCUAAGAUGUCAACAAGAUAUUCGUAACUACCGUGAGAAGGAAAGCAGCACGCCGGAG